UUGAACGCUGGCGGCAUGCCUUACACAUGCAAGUCGAACGGCAGCACGGGAGCAAUCCUGGUGGCGAGUGGCGAACGGGUGAGUAAUAUAUCGGAACGUGCCCGGUCGUGGGGGGAUAACGUAGCGAAAGCUACGCUAAUACCGCAUACGAUCUAUGGAUGAAAGCGGGGGAUCGCAAGACCUCGCGCGAUUGGAGCGGCCGAUAUCAGAUUAGGUAGUUGGUGAGGUAAAGGCUCACCAAGCCGACGAUCUGUAGCUGGUCUGAGAGGACGACCAGCCACACUGGGACUGAGACACGGCCCAGACUCCUACGGGAGGCAGCAGUGGGGAAUAUUGGACAAUGGGCGAAAGCCUGAUCCAGCCAUGCCGCGUGUGUGAAGAAGGUCUUCGGAUUGUAAAGCACUUUAAGUUGGGAGGAAGGGUAGUAACCUAAUACGUUGCUACUUUGACGUUACCGACAGAAUAAGCACCGGCUAACUUCGUG
rnacentral:rRNA from 1 species